rnacentral:misc_RNA from 1 species
AAGUCGUAACAAGGUUUCCGUAGGUGAACCUGCGGAAGGAUCAUUAAAAGAUUUUGUUUUUUGGGGUAUUCCUGAAAAAUAAUUCACCUUUUGUGCAUUGUUAUUAAGAUAUACUUUGGUUAGAGCUUUGAUUUCAUUUUUUGAAGUCAACUUCUUGCUGACUCUAUCCUUUCUGAGGACAGUUGGCUAUGAAGCGGCCUACCAAGGUUUUUUAUCAAACACAUUUAAUUUAUCUGACCUAAACUAUUACAAUAAAAUCAUAACUUUCAACAACGGAUCUCUUGGCUCUC